GUAGUCGUGGCCGAGUGGUUAAGGCGAUGGGCUAGAAAUCCAUUGGGGUCUCCCCGCACAGGUUCGAAUCCUGUCGACUGCG
rnacentral:tRNA from 1 species